rnacentral:tRNA from 1 species
UCGGGUAGCUCAAUUGGUUAGAGCGCUGCACCGGAAUCGCAGUGCCGUAGGUUCAAUUUUUACCAGAG